AGUGACUUCAGGGAAGCAGGAGGCUUUUCUCUUCUGUUGUUUCUCCGUCCUCUCUGACUCCGGCAGUGGCCACGGUGUCUGCAAAUUAGCAGCUUCAGGCUAC